rnacentral:rRNA from 1 species
AGAGUUUGAUCAUGGCUCAGGAUGAACGCUGGCGGCGUGCCUAACACAUGCAAGUCGAGCGAUUCUCUUCGGAGAAGAGCGGCGGACGGGUGAGUAACGCGUGGGUAACCUGCCCUGUACACACGGAUAACAUACCGAAAGGUAUGCUAAUACGAGAUAAUAUGCUUUUAUCGCAUGGUAGAAGUAUCAAAGCUUUUGCGGUACAGGAUGGACCCGCGUCUGAUUAGCUAGUUGGUAAGGUAACGGCUUACCAAGGCGACGAUCAGUAGCCGACCUGAGAGGGUGAUCGGCCACAUUGGAACUGAGACACGGUCCAAACUCCUACGGGAGGCAGCAGUGGGGAAUAUUGCACAAUGGGCGAAAGCCUGAUGCAGCAACGCCGCGUGAGCGAUGAAGGCCUUCGGGUCGUAAAGCUCUGUCCUCAAGGAAGAUAAUGACGGUACUUGAGGAGGAAGCCCCGGCUAACUACGUGCCAGCAGCCGCGGUAAUACGUAGGGGGCUAGCGUUAUCCGGAAUUACUGGGCGUAAAGGGUGCGUAGGUGGUUUCUUAAGUCAGAGGUGAAAGGCUACGGCUCAACCGUAGUAAGCCUUUGAAACUGGGAAACUUGAGUGCAGGAGAGGAGAGUGGAAUUCCUAGUGUAGCGGUGAAAUGCGUAGAUAUUAGGAGGAACACCAGUUGCGAAGGCGGCUCUCUGGACUGUAACUGACACUGAGGCACGAAAGCGUGGGGAGCAAACAGGAUUAGAUACCCUGGUAGUCCACGCCGUAAACGAUGAGUACUAGCUGUCGGAGGUUACCCCCUUCGGUGGCGCAGCUGCACGCAUU